GAUGAACGCUGGCGGCGUGCCUAAUACAUGCAAGUCGAGCGAACGGACGAGAAGCUUGCUUCUCUGAUGUUAGCGGCGGACGGGUGAGUAACACGUGGAUAACCUACCUAUAAGACUGGGAUAACUUCGGGAAACCGGAGCUAAUACCGGAUGAUAUUUUGAACCGCAUGGUUCAAAAGUGAAAGACGGUCUUGCUGUCACUUAUAGAUGGAUCCGCGCUGCAUUAGCUAGUUGGUAAGGUAACGGCUUACCAAGGCAACGAUGCAUAGCCGACCUGAGAGGGUGAUCGGCCGCACUGGAACUGAGACACGGUCCAGACUCCUACGGGAGGCAGCAGUAGGGAAUCUUCCGCAAUGGGCGAAAGCCUGACGGAGCAACGCCGCGUGAGUGAUGAAGGUCUUCGGAUCGUAAAACUCUGUUAUUAGGGAAGAACAUAUGUGUAAGUAACUGUGCACAUCUUGACGGUACCUAAUCAGAAAGCCACGGCUAACUACGUGCCAGCAGCCGCGGUAAUACGUAGGUGGCAAGCGUUAUCCGGAAUUAUUGGGCGUAAAGGCGCGCGUAGCGGUUUUUUAGUCUGAUGUGAAAGCCCACGGCUCAACCGUGGAGGGUCAUUGGAAACUGGAAAACUUGAGUGCAGAAGAGGAAAGUGGAAUUCCAUGUGUAGCGGUGAAAUGCGCAGAGAUAUGGAGGAACACCAGUGGCGAAGGCGACUUUCUGGUCUGUAACUGACGCUGAUGUGCGAAAGCGUGGGGAUCAAACAGGAUUAGAUACUCUGGUAGUCCACGCCGUAAACGAUGAGUGCUAAGUGUUAGGGGGUUUCCGCCCCUUAGUGCUGCAGCUAACGCAUUAAGCACUCCGCCUGGGGAGUACGACCGCAAGGUUGAAACUCAAAGGAAUUGACGGGGACCCGCACAAGCGGUGGAGCAUGUGGUUUAAUUCGAAGCAACGCGAAGAACCUUACCAAAUCUUGACAUCCUUUGACAACUCUAGAGAUAGAGCCUUCCCCUUCGGGGGACAAAGUGACAGGUGGUGCAUGGUUGUCGUCAGCUCGUGUCGUGAGAUGUUGGGUUAAGUCCCGCAACGAGCGCAACCCUUAAGCUUAGUUGCCAUCAUUAAGUUGGGCACUCUAAGUUGACUGCCGGUGACAAACCGGAGGAAGGUGGGGAUGACGUCAAAUCAUCAUGCCCCUUAUGAUUUGGGCUACACACGUGCUACAAUGGACAAUACAAAGGGCAGCGAAACCGCGAGGUCAAGCAAAUCCCAUAAAGUUGUUCUCAGUUCGGAUUGUAGUCUGCAACUCGACUACAUGAAGCUGGAAUCGCUAGUAAUCGUAGAUCAGCAUGCUACGGUGAAUACGUUCCCGGGUCU
rnacentral:rRNA from 1 species